CUCGGCCUCUUCCAGCGACGCGCACACGAAGCUCACCAUGACGAGUCUGCACGGCGAGCAUGAGCCGCACGCGUGCGAGCAGUCCGGCAAGCUUGAGCCGGCGAUUUGAAGCGUGUCCGGACCCUUUCUCUUCGUUGGAGUUAAGUAGAGGGAGGAGGAAAACCAUACGUGUUCUUGGCCGGCUUAUGUGUCUGGCAGAUGAGAUAGCAGGAACAAGGAGAAGAACAGUGAGAAUUGCAGCAAUACAAACAAAACCCUUCAUAGCUUUCACUACUUUUUCUGGCUUUUAUUUCAAGCUUUUGAUUUUCUCAAUGUGGGUGUACGUUGUAUCUUAAUUUUCUCUCUUGUCAAACAAUGAAGUGGGUAAAUGAGGUGAAACUUGAGAAGCAAGGGGCAGAGGUCGGAUGAAUAUUUAAAUAGGGUGGGAAAUGUGUAUUGAAGCAAAUCACAGACAAGAGUGUGAUACAAGAGAAUUCACAUGAAUAAAAAGGUGAUGUACAUGGUGUCUUCAACAAGUCACAAGACUCAACCUUUAGUAGUUUCCAUUGAAGGUGUUUGAAGAAAUUUCUGAAUUAAAAAUCCUUCCUUUUUCGUGAAUUCUGACUUGAAACUUUGCCGCCAAUACAUACAUCAUUAAAUGCUUUUCUGUGGAGGUUUUUUUUUAAAUUUUUUCAAAGUGUUAAGGAAAUGGGGAGAGGGGUCUAAUGCUGUGACUGCCAUUAAUGUCUCAUUUGUUCUUUGAUGGACCACUCUCACAAGCAUUGUAUGCUAUUGUAUCUAUCCAUAUAUUUAUGUCUAGUCCUUGUAUACAAAUUCUUACAGACCCAGAAAUCAACUUUAUUAGCCUUAUAGUACACUAUAUGUCAAACGACAGCAGUACUAUUUUAAUUACUAA